UUAAAUUGAAGAGUUUGAUCAUGGCUCAGAUUGAACGCUGGCGGCAGGCCUAACACAUGCAAGUCGAACGGUAACAGGAAGCAGCUUGCUGCUUUGCUGACGAGUGGCGGACGGGUGAGUAAUGUCUGGGAAACUGCCUGAUGGAGGGGGAUAACUACUGGAAACGGUGGCUAAUACCGCAUAAUGUCGCAAGACCAAAGAGGGG
rnacentral:rRNA from 6 species